rfam:Schistosoma haematobium scaffold547_20, whole genome shotgun sequence.
AGUCUUCUGAGUCCGUGCCGAGAUUUCGUCAGACACUAGACCAUCAGUACUGGUGAGACUCCUAAUAUAAAUGAAACG